rnacentral:lncRNA from 1 species
GCAGGCUCCAUGCAGGGAGCCUGAUGCAGAACUCCAACCCGGGACCCCAGGAUCACGCCCUGGGCCAAAGGCAGGUGCUCAACCGCUGAGCUACCCAGGGAUCCCCCACCUUCUUGCUAAAUCCUCACAUGAUCUUUCCCAGGUGCCUGCACCUUCAGAGGGAGUGCGCCAUUUGAUGUCUCUUCUUAUAAGGACACCAGUCCUAUGGGAUCAGGGCCCCACCCUUAUGGUUUCACUUAACUAUAAUUGCUUCCUCACUCCGAAUACAGCUACACUAGGGGGUUAGGGCUUCAACAUUUGAAUGGCAGAGGUGGGUGGGGAGACCCAAAGACUCAGUCCACAACAGCUAGCCAAUACAUAGUUUCAUUCUAUAUUCUAAAUUGUUGUUUUUGUAAGCUAUUGAUGUAGAAGUGUAUUUGGAAUGGUGUACUCCUAUUUUGUUAAGGAGACAAAACCUACCAAUAAAAGUGCAUUACAGUAUAAUCAUUUGUACAGAGAAUACAUAAAAAUUCAUGAAAAAAAAUGGUGUGGUGUGUGUAGGUAAGUCUGCACCAGAUAUUAGCAGUGCUUAUCUCUGCUUGAUGAGAUUCUAGGUAAUAAUUAUUUUGCUUUUGGGUAUUUUCUGGCACUUCAGAAAUGCAAGAAAGGAAUUAACCUAAGAAUUUAUUGAAUGCUAGCAUAAAAAAAAGACCCGAUCAUUCUUUUAGUAAAACACAGGAUUCCGUUCCAUUUUCAAUCUUUUCCACGAACCUAUGAAAUAAAAGUGGUAUGGAUUCGUUUACAGCAAUGUUGUUUGGACAGAAAAAAAAGAUACAGAUGUUUCCCUUUGGUGGAGGGAUCCAGGCUCCCCGUGACAACAGUCCCUUGCCCCUUGCGGGCAGAGGGGAGACGGCUUCUUCAGCAGGUGGGGGUGGGGACGCGGCACCGGCUCCGUCCCCCCACCCCACCCACCCCGGCCGCCCGCGAGCCCGGAGUGACGCGGCCCCGAGGCGAGCAUCCCGCAAAGCGCCGCGAGCCCCAGGCUGCCCCGGAGGACGCUGGGAGCCACGCGCGGAGGCCGCUGCCGCGCAGGCGCACAGCAUCACCAGGGGGCUUUCGAGGUGGAACCUCCAGCUGCUUGCUGAGAAGACCGAUGGAACUCAAGACGAGAUGGGCCUUGUGAGCCUAGACAUUAAAAGGUCCCGACUCCGGAUUUGGGUACACUCUGUUCGCUGGGUGCCUGAGCAUGGAGGACUCCAGCACCACCGCGAGGCCUGA